UACCUGAAGACAAAAACAGUUUUAUGUUCAUUAUGAGCUUUACAGUUUCUUCUCCAUGCAUUCAUUUCCUGACCUCUAUUUUUUCCAAACUGAAUGACAAAAUCCCUUGGCCAAAAUCUUGAUGACUGGCUAAUUAUAUGCAUUUCUUAAAAAGGUAUAUACUUUCAUAAAAUUGCUAAAAACUUCCAUGUCUAAUUAUAUAUGUAGAAAUACAUAGUAAUGGAAACAAUGAGACAUAAUCUUUAUGGUAUAUUUGGGGAAUUUCCCAAUUCAUGAUAUUCCAAAUAGUUUUCCAGAAGUAUUAAUUCCUCUUGGGUAUAGACUAUUCAUCUCAAAUAUCUCUCAUCUCAAAGAGUUUUCUACAAAGGAACCCCCUCCUCUUUUGAAUAUGAAGUAGAAAAUCCUUUGCUGAUCUCACCAUUUCUAUUGCACUGGAACUUGGCAUCUUAAAAUAAUUCGGAAGCUCUGAAUCAUCAGGUUGUAAUUCCAACUCUGAAGUUAAACAGAAAGAGAAAUGUAGAAAGUUCAGAAAACAAGAGGUAUGUACAAGAAAUUCAAAAGUGGUAAGGGUUGUUUGUCCUUCUUUUCAAAUUAAGCACAUUAAAAAAAUAAAAAUGAAGGCUGGAAAGAUGGCUCAGACAUUAAUGGCUAAGGCUGAAAACCAAAGAGAUGAGAAAAUAAAGUGAGACAGACAAGAUAGUGCACAACUGUGAUCUUACGGUCUGAGAGGCAAAAGCCAGCGAAUCUUAGGUUCAAGAGCAGCCUGGGCUAUAUUACGACACUGUUUCAAAAUUAGUAACAGAAAACAUGGAAAAGGGAGGGUCGGGGGGAUGACUAGCUGUUAAAUCAAGAAGACCCGAGUUUGAACCCUAUAUAUAACCCACUUUGAAAUACCAGGAAUAGUGAUAGAUGCUAAUAAUCCCAGCACUAGAACAGCAGAGAAAACUGACUCCAAAGUUAUUCUAUGACCUCUAUAGGUGUGCUGGGAUGUGGACACACACACACACAGACACGCAGGCAGACAGACAGACAGACAGACACACACAUAGACACACUCUCUCUCUCUAGCUCUCUCUCCCUCCCCUACAUGUGAAAGAAAAUAACGGCACAGAUUUAAGGAUUUUGUUAUGACAAAACUUUAGCAACAGAACUGCUCAGUGGGUAAAUGGUUGCCUCACAGGCCCGGAUCCUGAGCUCAAUUUCCAGCACCUCCAAAAUAAGAACAACAAAAAAGCUGCAAUAAAAAAAAAAAAAAAAAUUUUUUUAAAAAGUAGAGUCAACAUUUUAUUUAUUACAAACUGAUCCUGUAGCAAUUACAGCAACAGGAAAGUCAGAAAGGUCUGGGAAAACAGUUAAUAUUGAAGGACUAAACUUAGGAAAUGAAGCACAUAGUGUUGUAAGACCACAGGUAUGCGCAUGAAUAGAAACAACAGAUUGUGUAAAAUGGAAGAUAUCUCAAACUCUGAAAAAAAUGGCUCUAAUCUCUGAGGCAUACAUUGUAAGAAAACUUGACUAUGGUUGCAAAACAAUACUGAACUCAAAUGGAUUUUUACAUGCAUACUCACGUUGAGGAACUGUAAUUUCCACCGUCUCCAACUCUUCUUCUUGUUUUAACCAGGGGGUCGGACUAGGAAUGAAGAACUGACAUCCUGUAUAUACAGAAACAUGAAUGGAAGAGCUUCAAACAAAAGAUGACAAACUUUCAUAUGGCUAAGGAAAUCAUAGUUCAAAUGAAAGCAAGGACCCCUGAAAGCCAAAUGCAAGUUAAUGUGCACUUUCAAGAGAAGCCGUACCUCAAGGAUAACACAUUUACUAGCAUGUAAUGUCAGAAGCUACGCCCAUAAAUUACCAAAAAUAUGGCUGUCUAAAUGAGCUGGACAAAGAGAACUGCAACAGACACGCUCAUGUGGGAGGGGCUCAACCCUACAUAAAGAACUACAGACAACUAAGACUCCCGCCCAACAGGAAGAUGUGGUUGGCCUUGAACUCACAGUCCUGCCUCUACCUUCUAAGUGCUGGCACGUACCGAAGUCCUUCUCAGGAUGCUGGGGAGAGAACCCAAAACCUUGAGCACAAUAGGCAAAUGCUAAACCAAUGAAGCUGAAUCCCCAGCCAGAGAGGUUGAUGUUUUUGUUUUCAAGGUUUUUUUUUUCCAUUCUUCAACAAUUUCCUUCGUUUUUUUCUUUUAUUGUUACCUUGCGAUAUGUAUUUUAAAAGAUUAACUCUUUAAAAACAAACAAAACCCAUGAAAAUCAGGCACGGUGGGGGAGGCUUUGCAAACCUUUCAAGACAGAAGUAAGAAGACUUCAAAGCCAGUCUGGGCUAAAUAGCAAUAGUAAAACAAAACAAACCCAGACCUAUAAUCCCAGCUACUAGGGCGGCUGAAGCAAAAUGACAGGAUCAAUGAUAGGAUAGAAAGCUCAAAGCUAGCUUGGCUACAGAAUGAGUUCAAGGCCAGCCUUGGCAAGUUAGUGGGAUCCUGUCUCAAAAAGAAAAAGAGGGCUAAGGAUGUAGCUCAGUGACACAGCACCCUCGGUUCAAUUCCCAGUAUCCAACCCCACACACACAUAAAUAAAUAAGGGCCAAUGAGAUGGCUUGGCAGACAAAGGUUCUUACUGCUGAAUCUGAUGCCUUGAGUCCUAUGCAUCCCCGUGUCCCACAUGGUAGACUGAGGGAGCUGACUCCUUACCGUCACAUGCACACUGGCAUAUGUUCUCUCCCCACAAAUAGAUGUUAUACAUCCAAGAGAACACAUGCUUACCUAGUGCUGUACACAGUGCGCUUCAAUGAACCCUACAAGUCCCAUAGCCCAUUAACCACCAACAAAAUUCACCCUCACAAAACCUCUAUGCAGCUUACUCUCUAGUUGAUGAUCCCAAAUGCUGGACUAAAUAAUGUCCUAAAAAAAAAAUCACAUUUAGACUCCAAGGACAAAUAGAGCCCACUACAUUUAUCCCUAGAAUCUUGACUGCUGGUCCCUUGCUAACCCAUGCUGGGGCCUCUCAGACACAGAAAGUAGCAGCAGCGCUCCUUACAGUGGGAAAGACACCCAGAAAAAAUCAAAUGAAUCACAAUGUCAUGUGUGGGUGACUGAGCUGCAGUGUCAACUAUGGCUCCUGUCUUGGGAGGCCGAACACAAGCUUUAGCUGCCAGCAGUCAAUGUUGGGAUAGAACGUAAGGGCUCAUGUGUGGUAGCUAAGUACUUUCCCACAAUAUCCCCAACCAUGACGGUAUGUUUUGUUGAGAUAUUAUCUGAUUCCAUAGUCCAAAUAUGAGCAUACCUCACUACACCCACAAA